rnacentral:rRNA from 1 species
CGUAGGUGGCAAGCGUUGUCCGGAAUUAUUGGGCGUAAAGCGCGCGCAGGCGGAUUGGUCAGUCUGUCUUAAAAGUUUGGGGCUUAACCCCGUGAUGGGAUGGAAACUGCCAAUCUAGAGUAUCGGAGAGGAAAGUGGAAUUCCUAGUGUAGCGGUGAAAUGCGUAGAUAUUAGGAAGAACACCAGUGGCGAAGGCGACUUUCUGGACGAAAACUGACGCUGAGGCGCGAAAGCCAGGGGAGCGAACGGGAUUAGAUACCCCGGUAGUCCUGGCCGUAAACGAUGGGUACUAGGUGUAGGAGGUAUCGACCCCUUCUGUGCCGGAGUUAACGCAAUAAGUACCCCGCCUGGGGAGUACGACCGCAAGGUUGAAACUCAAAGGAAUUGACGGGGGCCCGCACAAGCGGUGGAGUAUGUGGUUUAAUUCGACGCAACGCGAAGAACCUUACCAGGUCUUGACAUUGAUGGACAGAACUAGAGAUAG